AGUGAACGCUGGCGGUAGGCCUAACACAUGCAAGUCGAACGGCAGCACAGUAAGAGCUUGCUCUUACGGGUGGCGAGUGGCGGACGGGUGAGGAAUACAUCGGAAUCUACUUUUUCGUGGGGGAUAACGUAGGGAAACUUACGCUAAUACCGCAUACGACCUACGGGUGAAAGCAUGGGAUCUUCGGACCUUGCGCGUUUGAAUGAGCCGAUGUCGGAUUAGCUAGUUGGCGGGGUAAAGGCCCACCAAGGCGGCGAUCCGUAGCUGGUCUGAGAGGAUGAUCAGCCACCCUGGAACUGAGACACGGUCCAGACUCCUACGGGAGGCAGCAGUGGGGAAUAUUGGACAAUGGGCGCAAGCCUGAUCCAGCCAUACCGCGUGGGUGAAGAAGGCCUUCGGGUUGUAAAGCCCUUUUGUUGGGAAAGAAAAGCAGCAGGUUAAUACCCAGCUGUUCUGACGGUACCCAAAGAAUAAGCACCGGCUAACUUCGUG
rnacentral:rRNA from 1 species